CAUGCAAGUCGAACGGGGAAAGCUUUCGGGUGAGUACUAGUGGCGCACGGGUGAGUAACGCGUGGAUAAUCUGCCUUUGAGUGGGGGAUAACUAGUCGAAAGAUUAGCUAAUACCGCAUAAGACCACAGGAACUGAGGUUCUAGGGGUUAAAGGUUUUUCGCUCAUAGAUGAGUCCGCGUGAGAUUAGCUAGUUGGUGAGGUAACGGCUCACCAAGGCGACGAUCUCUAACUGGUCUGAGAGGAUUAUCAGUCACACUGGAACUGAGACACGGUCCAGACUCCUACGGGAGGCAGCAGUAGGGAAUAUUGCACAAUGGAGGAAACUCUGAUGCAGCGACGCCGCGUGAGUGAUGAAGGCUUUCGGGUCGUAAAGCUCUGUCGCAGGGGAAUAACACAAUGAAUGUACCCUGUAAGAAAGGAUCGGCUAACUUCGUGCCAGCAGCCGCGGUAAGACGAGGGAUCCUAGCGUUGUUCGGAAUUAUUGGGCGUAAAGCGGAUGUAGGUGGCUUUGUAAGUCAGGUGUGAAAGCCUAGGGCUCAAGCCUAGAAGUGCAUCUGAUACUGCGAAGAUUGAGUGUGGGAGAGGCUAGUAGAAUUUUU
rnacentral:rRNA from 1 species